UUAGCAUAAGCAAUUUACUUCUAUUCUACAUCAAAAUCUUGGGUACAAGUAGUAAAAGGAGACUAAGAUGAAUUUCCAGAAGCUAAUGAUAUGAUAUUCUUCUUUGAUAAGGUAGCUAUUGAUUUAGUAUCAGUAAAACGGAAGGUAGAUAUAAGUUUCUGUCCUUUUCUUUUAUGUGAAAAAUGGCCAAGGUAAAUUUUCAAGGAUUCCACAUUGUCUGGGUUUUAUUUAUAGUCAAAAACUUGUCUGACUUGCUCAUUUUCAAGGUCUUUCAUAUAAUCCUGCAUUUUCUUUGUACAAUCAUCGGAAGGUGGAUAUAAGUUUCUGUUCUUUUCUUUUAUUUGAAAAAUGGCCAAGGCAAAUUUUCAAGGAUUCCACAUUGUCUGGGUUUUAUUUAUACAGUCAAAAACUUGUCUGACUUGCUCGUUUUCAAGGUCUUUCAUAUUAUCCUGCAUUUUAUUUGUACAAUCAAAAACUUAUCUGGCAUUGCUCUCUUCUCCUUUCCUGU
rnacentral:lncRNA from 1 species